rnacentral:rRNA from 1 species
CCUACGGGAGGCAGCAGUGAGGAAUAUUGGUCAAUGGACGAGAGUCUGAACCAGCCAAGUAGCGUGAAGGAUGACUGCCCUAUGGGUUGUAAACUUCUUUUAUAUGGGAAUAAAAUGUUCCACGUGUGGGAUUUUGUAUGUACCAUAUGAAUAAGGAUCGGCUAACUCCGUGCCAGCAGCCGCGGUAAUACGGAGGAUGCGAGCGUUAUCCGGAUUUAUUGGGUUUAAAGGGUGCGCAGGCGGCCUGUUAAGUCAGCGGUAAAAGCCCGGGGCUCAACCCCGGCGAGCCGUUGAAACUGGCGGGCUGGAGUUGGAGAGAAGUACGCGGAAUGCGCGGUGUAGCGGUGAAAUGCUUAGAUAUCGCGCAGAACCCCGAUUGCGAAGGCAGCGUACCGGCUCCACACUGACGCUGAGGCACGAAAGCGUGGGUAUCGAACAGGAUUAGAUACCCCAGUAGUC